rnacentral:rRNA from 1 species
AGGACGAACGCUGGCGGCGUGCCUAAAACAUGCAAGUCGAACGAGGCCCAUCCAGUGGCAACACUGGUGAAGGCCUAGUGGCGAACGGGUGAGUAACACGUGAGGAACCUGCCCCCGAAGACCGGGAUAACCCUCCGAAAGGAGAGCUAAUACCGGAUACCCCCACCGGACCGCAUGAUCUGGUGAGGAAAUGGAUUCCGCUUCGGGAGGGCCUCGCGGCCUAUCAGCUUGUUGGUGGGGUAACGGCCCACCAAGGCUUCGACGGGUAGCUGGUCUGAGAGGACGAUCAGCCACACUGGGACUGAGACACGGCCCAGACUCCUACGGGAGGCAGCAGUGGGGAAUCUUGCGCAAUGGGCGAAAGCCUGACGCAGCAACGCCGCGUGGGGGAUGAAGGCUCUCGGGUUCGUAAACCCUUUCAGCAGGGACGAAACUGACGGUACCUGCAGAAGAGCCCCGGCAACUACGUGCCAGCAGCCGC